rnacentral:lncRNA from 1 species
CAGGAAGGUGUUGGCCGUCCCUCUCGGUGUUUGGGCCAGAUAAGAGGGCGCGUGAAGGGGUGGGGAGUGCGUCUGCCUGAAGGGCAAUUGGUAGAGGGUCGGGAGCGCUGGCGCACAGUCCUGGGCUAUUUCUCUGACUGCGGUGGGUGGGCGGGCAGGCAGGAAGAACGGACGUGCCUGAGAAGCGGCUGCGCUUCGGAGGCUUGCUUGAAGGGGACUGGAGUUUUGGAGCGUGGGCGAGGGCCCAAGGCGGGAACCGAGGCUCGGUGGUCCAAGGUGGCGGUGGGCGUUGCCUUCCGGCGGGCGGCCUGGCCAAAAGGUCCGCUUGGGGAUUCGAACCCACGCCUCCAGGGAAGACUGCGACCUGAACGCUGCGCCUUAGACCGGUCGGCCAUCCUGACGGCGUGCCGUGGAGCGUUGCGGUUCGCGUGCCUGGGAGCCGGCGCCCUUGGCCGCUGCGUUCCGUGCGCAACCGACGGAUCGCGCGGGGGGAGCAGGCACCGAGUGAACGCAACCGGCUGGCUCUGGCGCGGACGCCCCGGCGUCCCCACCCCGGACCCAAAAGGUCCGCGGAGUGCAGGCCGCCCCUGCACGUCCCCGCCCCCGCGCCUCCGCCGGCUGUACCCCCGCAGGGCACGCGCCCACCAGGUCCUAGGAGCAGCCGCCUGGCGGUUUCGCCCGCGCCUCUUCCUCCCGGCGCGAUCCCAGCGUUGGAGACAGCAGACAGGGCGCACGGGGAGGUUCCACGCCACUCGGACCCGGAGCUGUCGGGGUCCCGCUCCGGAUCCAGGUGGGAUCGCAGGGUGCUUUGUUGGGUGUCAAGUUAGGUCACGCCACCGGUGGUGGGUGGCGAGUGGCAGGUUGCGGUGGCGGAUGACAGGUCGCGGGAGGGCGCGUGCCGGGCCCCUGCGGUCGGUCGGCGGAAGGGAUCAAGGCAGGGCUCGGCGUCCGCGGUCGGAGUGGGGUCUGGCGUCCCGUUGGCCGUCACCGUCGUCCUCGUUAGUAUAG